rnacentral:rRNA from 1 species
CAAGACUGAUGGAGUGACAAAGAAGGCUAAGCAAAGCCAAUUAUUGGAUUUUGGUCUAAGCACAAAGGCGUGUUGAGUAAGCAAAUCUAUCAACUGUAACGCUGAAGUGUGAUGGGGAAAAAGUUCUACGGAACUUCAACUUUGCUGAAGCCAUGCUUUCAAGAAAAACUUCUAGGGCUAAUCUUGUAGGUGCCUGUACUCAGAACCGACACUGGUAGUCAAGGAGAGAAUCCUAAGGUGAGCGAGAUAACUAUGGUUAAGGAACUCGGCAAAAUGACCCCGUAACUUCGGAAUAAGGGGAGGUGUAGCGAUACACCCUCAGGAAAUAGGUCCAGGCAACUGUUUACCAAAAACACAGGUCUCUGCUAAAGCGUAAGCUGAUGUAUAGGGGCUGACGCCUGCCCAGUGCUGGAAGGUUAAGAGGAGAUGUUAGUUGGACGCAAGUCGAUAACAACGAAGCUUCGAAUUGAAGCCCCAGUGAACGGCGGCCGUAACUAUAACGGUCCUAAGGGAGCGAAAUUCCUUGUCAGGUAAGUUCUGACCCGCACGAAAGGCGUAAUGAUCUGGAUACUGUCUCAACCAUAGACUCGGUGAAAUCUUAAUACCUGUGAAAAUGCAGGUUACCCGCUACAGGACAAAAAGACCCCGUGGAGCUUUACUGCAACUUGAUAUUGGAAUCAGAUGUAUCAUGUAGAGGAUAGGUGGGAGACUUUGAAGUUAGGACGUCAGUUCUAAUGGAGUCAUCCUUGGAAUACCACCCUUGAUAUGUUUGAUUUCUAACUUGCGCCCAUUAUCUGGGUGGAGGACAGUGUCUGGUGGGCAGUUUGACUGGGGCGGUCGCCUCCCAAAGAGUAACGGAGGCGCCCAAAGGUUCCCUCAGAAUGGUUGGAAAUCAUUCGUAGAGUGUAAUGGCAGAAGGGAGCUUAACUGCGAGACCUACAAGUCAAGCAGAUGCGAAAGCAGGGCAUAGUGAUCUUGCGAUCCCGAAUGGAAGGGUCGUUGCUUAACGGAUAAAAGUUACCCCGGGGAUAACAGGCUGAUCCCACCCAAUAGUUCAUAUAGACGGUGGGGUUUGGCACCUCGAUGUCGGCUCGUCGUAUCCUGGAGGUGGAAUCGCUUCCAAGGGUUGGGCUGUUCGCCCAUUAAAACGGCACGCGAGCUGGGUUCAGAACGUCGUGAGACAGUUCGGUCUCUAUCCGUAGUGGGCGUUAGAAAAUUGAGGAGUGCUUUUCCUAGUACGAGAGGACCGGAAAGGACGAACCGAUGGUGUAUCUGUUGUCACGCCAGUGGCAGUGCAGAGUAGCUAUGUUCGGAAGGGAUAAUCGCUGAAGGCAUCUAAGCGAGAAGCCCUCUCCAAGAUGAGUUUUCUUUAUCUUCAAGAUAUAAGAUCCCUUGUAGACGACAAGGUUGAUAGGUUAGAUGUGUAAGCAUAGUGAUAUGUUGAGCUGACUAAUACUAAUAGAUCGACAAUUUAAUCAU